rnacentral:misc_RNA from 1 species
GUUUUUCUGUGUGUUUUUUAAUCAUUAUUUUCGUUCAUACAUAACAUAACAGUAACAGAAGAAGACAGUUCAUGAGAAAGAAAUCUAAAUGUGACAAAGGAAGAAGCAACGGGCCCGACUUAAAUGGGGAAAUCAUGAGUCCUGGAGAGUUUAAAAUUCGUUUGGAUGCACUUUGUUCAUGGGUCGAGGAUUGCAACGAAUAUCAAAAAGAUGCGAUACUCCGGACUCUUUUUCCUCAUUUAGGAGCAUCCCAGCUUCAUUGGCUAAGUCUUCAAUGCCCAGAUCUUCAUGCUCAAUGUCCUUCAGGAUGUAAUGAUUUCAUCCAAAAACUUCCUAUUCAUUGCGCCUAUAAAAUACUCUCGUACCUGGAUCCGUCUUCCCUAACUGCCUCUGCUCAGGUGUGUAAAUAUUGGAGAGAUUUGAGUAAUGCGGACUGGCUUUGGCAUAGACUUUGCUUCAUACAAAAAUGGAGAUUAUCCUCUUUUGGCUCAAGAGAUCAAAUUACUCGACUGCGACAACGAUCAAAUACCGGAGACAUGCUGAUUAAUUGGAAACACGUGUUUAGAGAGAGAUUCAAACUGAGGAGGUCUUGGCUCUCGGGGCAAUGCCAUGUACGCACCUUUGAAGGUCACACUGGAGGAAUUAGUUGCAUUCAAUUAGAUAGAAAUCGUAUCGUUAGUGGUUCACAUGAUAAAACUAUCAGAGUAUGGAAUAUUAAGACUAAUAGCCCAUGGUCUGUCAUGACUCUAAGUGGACAUUCUGGGGAAGUUCGAUGUUUAUAUCUGGAAGGGAAUAGACUUGUAAGCGGAAGUGCGGAUUCUACCAUCAAAGUUUGGGAUUUGGACAUACAAUCCGAAUGGUCUUCCAUUGCUUGUAAAGUGACUAUGGUUGGGCAUUUAGAUAAAGUCCGUGCAGUUACCAUGAAUAGAAAUAAGGAUUUAGUAAUUAGUGGCUCUUAUGAUCAAACAGUUAAAAUUUGGUGCCUUAAAACUGGUUCAUGCAAAAGAACUCUAAGAGGGCAUGAAGGACCCGUUUUAUGUGUUCAUUGGGCUGGGUUUACAUUGCUCUCAGGGUCAGCUGAUAAAACAAUCAAGCAAUGGUCUGUUGAGACUGGAGAAUGUAUUCGCACACUCACCGGGCAUGGUGAUGCUGUAACAUGUAUAUCCCUUGAAACAGAUAGAAUUGUGACUGGCUCCUUGGAUCGAACGAUUAAAUUAUGGGAUUCUAAGACGGGAAAAUGUGUCUCAACUCUGGAUUGGAUGUCAUCUGAAGGGCACACGGGAGUUAUUCGUUGCCUUCAAGCCGACAACUGGCGAAUUGUUUCUGCAGCUGAUGAUAAAACGAUUAAAGUUUGGUCCUUGGAAACGGGCCGACGUUUGGUGACUCUGAAAUCCCAUACCGAUGGAGUGACGUGCCUACAAUUCAACGAUUUUUGUAUUGUUUCUGGAAGCUAUGAUAAGACUGUCAAACUAUGGGAUUUUACCGUCUGUUAAAAUAUCCCUCCCAUAUACCACACUACCAAUUUAUAACCCAAUGAUUCCUUAAAUUACAAAGAAUGAAAGAAAAGUUGCAACUGUUAACCAGAUUUAUAUAUAUAUAUUAUUUCUUUAUUAUAUAUGUGUAUCAUUAGGUAUACUAUAUUAUUAUGAUCUAUUUUGUCUUCAAUUUAUGUUAAUCAGUAUUAGUUUAUGUAGCCUAAAAUUUUUGUACUUUUAUAUACAAUACAUACCCAUGUAUUCACCGCGUUCAUCUAUAAUGAUAUUAUGAUUCAAAUUUGACUUGCAUUUAGUGCUUUAAACCAUGUUGUAAUCACUUAGUCAUUUUUUCUUGCAUCAUGUUUUUUUACUUUUAUAAAUGUUAUAUAUAUUAUUUUUUUGAAAUAUAUAUUUUUUUUGCAUCUUCA